CUUCACCUCGUUCCAUCAGCGAGUUCAGAAGGGAUGCGUUGGAGAAGAAGAACAAGUAGCCAAAAGUCUGAGACACGAGGUCAGGGUGCAGCUCGCACUGGCUGGUCAGCUCCAAGGCUGCCUGGAACACGCCCAGGGUCCAGUGGCUUUGUGCUUCCUCGCCUCCAAGAAUGAACUCGCUCACUGCUAUCCAAGCUCCAAGCCCAAUGGGCUGCGGUGAAUUCUCACACUGAUCUCUGUCAACUUCUCAUCCAGUGGGAUCUCUCCCCCACCAUCUCCCAUAAUGGUUUCUUCCUAAGAGGAUUUCAAAGAGAUAACCCCCCUUCCAUCAAUGGACGUUCUCAAUAUUCCUACAAUGGACUCCUACAAUGGACUCACCUAUUACUCCCACUCCCCUAACGGAGGAUUUCAAAGAGAUAACCCCCCUUCCAUCAAUGGACGUUCUCAAUAUUCCAAUCCCCAAAAAGGGCAUCUCCAAAAAGAUCUCCAUACAGUGGGCUCUUCUGGUCACUCCACGGAUAAAUAAAUGCCUUCACGGACAACCUCUUACCAUGGAGUGUUCCAUCUCAUUUAUCAAAUGAAGACAGGCAUUCCAGAAGACCUCGUCCUAAAAAAUGGACACUCAUCUCCAUUCCAUAAACGUAGAACCACUCAAUCUGACCCCCUUCCGUUCGCCAACCAUGUCUGAGACAACAGGCAUCUUGAUAUGCAUAGAUCCCCCUUCUACACUAAAUUCUACCAAUAUCCCUACCCCAUGAAUGGGUGUUUCCGAAAAGACUCCUACCUCCAAAAGAUUUGCUCAUCUACCCUUGUAGAAAAAUGGGCCUUUCCAGUCUUACCACCUUCUGAAGGUAGAAUCUCCUGUUCUUCAUUCCUGUCUGAAGGAAUGGGAUGACCCAAAAUAAAAGCCCCCUUUCUACAAUGGGCUCUCCUGCUCCCUAACCCAGGAAGGGAUGCUUUCUCGGCACCUACAGUGAACUUUCACUUCACAGCCACUCCAUGAAUCGGCAAACCAAAUGAAUUCCUACCAUAGAUUCACCUGGUAUUCCUGCCUCCAAGGAAUGAACAAUUCAAA